GGCUUAUUGAGCGGAUUCUGACCGCGUGCUAGGCGCCGCGGUGGCUAUAGAGACUUGGAAGAGCCGGGCUCUUCCCUCAAGGGGCAACCCUCCCAACUGCCGCUUUCAAUAAGCCUCGUACUUGUGUUUUUUCAUUUGUCCAGGUUCAUUUUGACAAAGGUUAUGUUUAUGAAGAUUCGCAACCAUUUUCGUCUGCUUGUUAACCCCACACGAUAGAUGAGGUAAUUUGAGAUUGAGUGGACUUGCCAAGCUUACGAGUCUAGGAUGUGGAGAAACUGAAAAUCAAAUUGCCACCUCAGGGCCCUUUCCAUCUCCCCAGAAGGCCUCUCAAACUUAGGUGACCUUUUCCUAAAGCCGCCAAUAACUACAUUCGCAUUCACGCUUUUGCAUGUGAAUCGUCUCAUCAGGGGCACGAAUGGUGUCUUUUUUAUCUUAGUGAGCUCAGUCCCUGGCACAGUCCCUGUACGUAUCAGGCGCCCAGUAAAUAUUUGCUGAAUGAUUCAGCUGUGUGAGUGGUCAGAAACCAUUUUUUGUAGUGUCCGUAACAGCCUCCUGAAAUAUCCAGAAUGUGGUAUCUCCCGUCGCAUUAGCCACGUCUUUAUACUUUGCAAAGUAAGAAGGAUGCCUAGUAACACCGACUGAUCUCCCAAAUCCACCGGCUUCCAGAAGCUGUUUCCAAUCCGCUACACUUUCUAUAUUCUAAAAUAGAACUGAGAGUCGGGCUGCCUCUUGGGAGGAGAAACAGGUGACAGCAAUACUUAACAUGGAGUACAUGGGUUUCAGAAGUUCGUGGACCUCCUAAAAUUAUGGACAAUAUUUGUAGGUGUAAUACAUGAGUCUGGAAAUGAAGAAGUGGAAGUAGGAAUGACCCUGCUUUGUGCAUCCCAUCCCCUCAACUCUGGGCUCUAUGAGUUUAGAAAUCCUGGUUUCCAAAGGGGAAUGCUUCCACCAAGAGACACAACAGGAGUCCCAUUGAACUUCAAGCUACAGUUGCUGCCUGAGCAUUCAGACUCCUAUGUCGAGAGAUCAGCAGACAUGAAGAGAAGUCACCAUCUUGGCGGGGGUAGUAGACCCCAAUAAUCAGCAGGAAGUUGGGAUUCUGUUACACAGUGAGAGCAGAAAGGACCAGGUUUGGCACCCAAGCAAUCCACUUGGGUAUCCCGUGGUGCUUCCUUACGUGAUUUUGUAAAUGGAUAAGUACAUCAACCACAGCUUAAAAAGAGUAUUGGUACCAGGGCCCAAGAUCCCUCAGGUAUAAGGGUCUGGGUCACCUCACCGGGUAAACCACCUAGACUAGCAGAGGCACUAACUGAGGAUGAGAGGAAUCUAUGUUUGGAUAGUAGAAGCCAGAGACAAUGAGUAUAGUUGGGGCCUCAAGAUCAGCUGCAGUGGUGGAGGCUGUAUUUGGUCCCACUCUUCUCUCCUUACAAGCUUCCCUCAGGAAAAGAGGCCCACCAGAACCUGGAAGGCCUGUGUCCGCUUACACAACUAAGUGAUUCCAAAGGGCACAAAAAGUGGACUGUAGAGGACACAGUGAUUCACUUCCCAUAUGGGAAGUGAAGGACUCAUUCCCCCAAGCCACUGGGACUUUUCUCUAAGAAGCUUCCUCAGCUGAAGAGAGCGAUUUUGCCCGAGGUCACUUCUCAGGAUAGCUUGCAUCCAAAGACUGGUUGAUAUUGUGGUAUAAAGGCCUGGCCACCUCACUCCAACUCAGGACACCUCCGAAGUGCUAACCUAGCUUCAGAGCUCCUCAUGGAAUUGGUUGAAGCAUUUGUUGAAACUGCAUCAGAGCCCAACUUCUCCCUCUCCCCAAUCCUGCUACCUUUGCUUUCCCACAUGUGUUGAUCCUGAGGGCACUCUCAUAAACGUCCUGCGCGCCAACCUCCAUCUCACAGCCCACUUCCUGGGAACCCCACCCUGAAACAAUGCCCAUGUGUACAUACAAAAUUUCUGGAAGAAUACACAAGAAGUUGUUAAAUGUAAUUAUCGCAGAGUAGUAGGACUGGUGGUUGGGGAUUAUGGGAAGAAGACCGUUUCUUUUUUAAUAAAAAAAUAUUAAGUAUGAUUAUUAGUGAAAGCUAACAAAGAGUCAAAGAAAAAAAAGAGGGAGAUUUUACUUCACUUUCUUUUCUUCCUAGAUUGCUCUGCUGCCACAUGGUAAGCAAUCUAAAAUUUAUUGAAGUAAAUUAUUUUUAUCCCUUGGGAAAAAGCACACUAUAGUGCCACUGCUAAAACAUCACAGUGUGCCCCAAAAGAAAAAUGGACAAAUAUGAACAGACAAUUCACAAAAAAGGAAAUUCAGUUAGGUAAUAAAUAGUUAAAAACAAUAUUUACUUCAUGAGUAUCAGUGAAAUCCCAAUUAAAAUGUGAUUAACUAAUAAAAGAGUUCAAUUAAGAAUCCUAAUCAGGGACCAGCCCUGUGGCCGAGCGGUUAAGUUCGUGCUCUCCGUUUCAGCGGCCCAGGGUUUCGCCGGUUCAAAUCCUGGGCACGGACAUGGCACUGCUCGUCAAGCCACACUGAGGCAGUGUGCCACAUGCCACAAGUAGAAGGACCCACAACUAAAAAUCUACAACUAUGUACCAGGGGGCUUUGGGGAGAAAAAGGAAAAAUAAAAUCUAAAAAAACAAAGAAAAGAAUCCUAAUCAGAGGCCAACCCUGUGGCUGAGUGGUUAAAGUUUCGCAUGCUCCACUUAGGUGGCCUGGGUUCAUGGGUUUGGAUCCCCAUGUGGACCUACUCCACUCAUUAGCCGUGCUGUGCAGGCAUCCCACAUACAAAAUAGAGGAAGAUUGGC
ensembl:lncRNA